UUGAACCAGCAACCUUUUGGUGCACCAGACAUCGCUGAACCAACUGAACUACACCGGCCAGGGCAAUAACUAUUUUCUUUACACAUCAUACUCACGGAUAUUCUGAAUGGCGAUAUGUUCAUAGGGUGUUCUUCAUUAAGAGCAGGUGUUUUAGAUAAGCACAUUUCUGUAUACCAGGGAAGUCUAGAAGGAAAGAGUAGUUUUUAGCACCACAUUGAGUCUAUAAUUGAAGCUGUAUUAAAUAGUAAUGUUUAUGCUUACCUCCUGGAAUACAUAAACUUAAUGGAUUAUGUUGGAAUCUCUACUCAACCUGACUUCUGAAGUUUAAUGAUUUUUUUUCCCUAGACAAUGAAAAGAAGCUAUUCCAUAUAAUAAUUUAUAUUACUCCAGACAAAACAUCCAGCUUGCCCUGCUUCACAGUACAGAACAAAAUGAACAUUGCACCCUCUGCAUUUUACUCAUGGUUUAAUUUUAGAUCCUGACCUGCUGAAUUGGGUUUUAUUUGUCCUUCCCUUUUAUGCACCCUCUAGGAAGUCAGGAACUCAGCAGAAAAUGGUAUCUGUUUCUCCAUAGACUGAGUAAGGAGGAUUACUUCUCCUAGCCCUUCCCGUCUACCCUUGAAUUCCCAUGUCCUCGGCUACAGUCAGAAAGGAAGGGAGA